rnacentral:rRNA from 1 species
GUGGGGAAUUUUGGACAAUGGGGGCAACCCUGAUCCAGCCAUGCCGCGUGCGGGAAGAAGGCCUUCGGGUUGUAAACCGCUUUUGUCAGGGAAGAAAUCCUUUGGGUUAAUACCUCGGAGGGAUGACGGUACCUGAAGAAUAAGCACCGGCUAACUACGUGCCAGCAGCCGCGGUAAUACGUAGGGUGCGAGCGGUAAUCGGAAUUACUGGGCGUAAAGCGUGCGCAGGCGGUUUUGUAAGAUCGAUGUGAAAUCCCCGGGCUCAACCUGGGAACUGCAUUGGUGACUGCAAGGCUGGAGUGCGGCAGAGGGGGAUGGAAUUCCGCGUGUAGCAGUGAAAUGCGUAGAUAUGCGGAGGAACACCAAUGGCGAAGGCAAUCCCCUGGGCCUGCACUGACGCUCAUGCACGAAAGCGUGGGGAGCAAACAGGAUUAGAUACCCUGGUAGUCC